CUGUUCAUUUUUCCUGCACUAUCUGAACUGAUGCACACAGUGCAAUAAAUUGAAAUGAAAUAAACGUAUAUUUCGCUUUAAUUUAUU